UACAUGUGGGGCAAGCGUUGUUCGGAAUUACUGGGCGUAAAGGGUGCGCAGGCGGUUAUAUAAGACAGAUGUGAAAUCCCCGGGCUCAACCUGGGAACUGCGUUUGUGACUGUAUGACUAGAGUACGGUAGAGAGGGGUGGAAUUCCUGGUGUAGCAGUGAAAUGCGUAGAUAUCAGGAGGAACAUCGAUGGCGAAGGCAGCCCCUUGGACCUGUACUGACGCUCAUGCACGAAAGCGUGGGGAGCAAACAGG
rnacentral:rRNA from 1 species